CAUGAUGAUUUUUUCAGCUACAGUGAGCUGCAGCUACGUGGGCGACAGCAGCAGCAUUCGACAGGAAACAAUAAUUUGAUUCUGGAAACUUGAGACUUGAGGACAAGCUGCACACGGAGAUGAAAUGGAUAUCUCCAAUGAAGCAGCUAUUAUAGAAAUAAUAAAGAAGAGUGCCAAAAUCAAUAGAUUCAUGUCCAAGUGUGUGAAAUCAUUCAGCGUAGUUUAAAAUGUAUUUAUAGCCGUUCGGACACUUUCUCAAGUGAACAGUGAAGACUUUAUUUCAGGUAAAAGGUGAGGAAUCCCCCAUUGCAUCAGGAGGCUGUAUGGACAUCAUUUUUUUUUUUUUUAUGCUUUUCGCUGGUGGGUUUAAAAAAGACAUGUACUUCUAAGAGUUAUAAAAGAAACCAGGAAUAUAAUCCAGUGAAAGCUGAAGCAAGCUAUUUUUGUGCACUGAGGUAGAAGGUAGGACAGAAGCAGGACAAGAAGGAAUUAAAUAUGAUCAUUUAUGACGUCCCUGUCCAAUCCCUCAUACAAUAUUUAAGUCAAGAGGUUUUGAAAGUAAAAGUAUUUUGGUGUAAAAGCUGCUGUCAUUUAAAAGAACAUACAUUGCUUUAAAAGAAAAUGAAUAACUCAAUAUAGUUGUUUUUUUUUUUCACUUUGAACUGAUGGUAAUGAGGGAAGAUGUCGCCCAGUGCAACAGUGUGGCUCAUUGAUGUGUUUGUAAUAGUUUCUGGACAACAAUGGAGCGCUAUGGCUCAGAGGAAUUAGCCAUAUCAGGCUUUGGAAACUCGACCGUACUUGUUAGUAGGAUCAGCUGUUGGUUUGGGUGUUUUAAUGGAAUCUGUUAACAAUAAGAAGAACACCACCAGCCUUAUCCAUUCAAAGAUAAACAUAUUGUGCACCAGCCUACUUUUAGAGGCCUGCUGAAAUUCUUGAAGCCUUUUAUGUGUAAUUAAGAAUUCUAUUCUAUUCUGUUGACUAUAGAAUUGAUGUGUGUCAUAGAGCCUCACAUACUAGAACUUUCACGAUAUCACAGCAGCUCCAGACUCCUGAGAGUUUUCAUUUGAGAUUCAGAAACACUUGAAACAAGUUGCUCAACAGUUGACUCAAGUUUUAGCUAUGAAAAGAUCUGCAAACAUGUUUAUACCGCCUUGCUUUCGACGAAAGAAAAAUCAACACACGACUGAAAAAGUUGUGGAGAAUAGGAGCAGACCGCGCUCCACCUCUAGUGGAAGAGUCGCCGUCUCAGACGCUCCUGCCGCCAAGACCUCUACGGAAAACCGUAAAGGGAGGACUCUUUGGUGGUACAGACUGUUCGGUUCAACAGUG